UGUUCUAUGGCUUAAUUGGGUUAAGUGCCUGUCUAGCGAAUACGGAGUCGUGGGUUCGAAUCCCACCAGAACGC
rfam:Aedes albopictus isolate Foshan contig69009, whole genome shotgun sequence.